UUGGAGGGCAAGUCUGGUGCCAGCAGCCGCGGUAAUUCCAGCUCCAAUAGCGUAUAUUAAAGUUGUUGCAGUUAAAAAGCUCGUAGUUGAAUUUCGGGAUCAAUUUGUUGGUCGUGCCUCGGUACGUACUGGCAUUAUUGGUUUCUACCUUCUGAAGAACCUUGAUGUCAUUAAUUUGGUGUCUUGGGGAAUCAGGACUGUUACUUUGAAAAAAUUAGAGUGUUUAAAGCAGGCAUACGCUUGAAUACAUUAGCAUGGAAUAAUGAAAUAGGACGUUUGAUUCUAUUUUGUUGGUUUCUAGGAUCGACGUAAUGAUUAAUAGGGAUAGUUGGGGGCAUUAGUAUUCAAUUGUCAGAGGUGAAAUUCUUGGAUUUAUUGAAGACUAACUACUGCGAAAGCAUUUGCCAAGGAUGUUUUCAUUAAUCAAGAACGAAAGUUAGGGGAUCGAAGACGAUCAGAUACCGUCGUAGUCUUAACCAUAAACUAUGCCGACUAGGGAUCGGAUGAUGUUAUUUUUAAUGACUCAUUCGGCGCCUUACGGGAAAC
rnacentral:rRNA from 5 species